rnacentral:lncRNA from 1 species
AGAUAUAGAAGCAAAAAUUGCUGUUAGUGUUCCACCAGAGGUCUGUUGAGAGGUCAUGAUGGUUUCCCGAGACCGGCCAGUACAUCACGGGGUAUGUUCUCAUCAGGCCGUGAGCUUGAUGGUCCCUUCUGCACAACAGGCUGUGAAUGCCAUUCCGGUUUCCACAGGUAAUUCUAAAUGAAGACCCAAGGCUUCAACAGUGACAUU